rnacentral:rRNA from 1 species
AAGUACCCCGAGGAGAAGAAAUCAACCGAGAUUCCGGUAGUAGCGGCGAGCGAACCUGGAUUAGCCCUUAAGCACUCGUUGAAGUAGGUGAACAAGCUGGAAAGCUUGGCGAUACAGGGUGAUAGCCCCGUAACCGACGCUUCAUCGAGCGUGAAAUCGAGUAGGGCGGGACACGUGAUAUCCUGUCUGAAUAUGGGGGGACCAUCCUCCAAGGCUAAAUACUCCUGACUGACCGAUAGUGAACCAGUACCGUGAGGGAAAGGCGAAAAGAACCCCUGUGAGGGGAGUGAAAUAGAACCUGAAACCGUGUACGUACAAGCAGUAGGAGCACCUUCGUGGUGUGACUGCGUACCUUUUGUAUAAUGGGUCAGCGACUUAUAUUCAGUGGCAAGGUUAACCGUAUAGGGGAGCCGUAGCGAAAGCGAGUCUUAACUGGGCGCUCAGUCUCUGGAUAUAGACCCGAAACCGGGUGAUCUAGCCAUGGGCAGGUUGAAGGUUGAGUAACAUCAACUGGAGGACCGAACCGACUAAUGUUGAAAAAUUAGCGGAUGACUUGUGGCUAGGGGUGAAAGGCCAAUCAAACUCGGAGAUAGCUGGUUCUCCCCGAAAGCUAUUUAGGUAGCGCCUCGGACGAAUACUACUGGGGGUAGAGCACUGUUAAGGCUAGGGGGUCAUCCCGACUUACCAACCCUUUGCAAACUCCGAAUACCAGUAAGUACUAUCCGGGAGACACACGGCGGGUGCUAACGUCCGUCGUGGAGAGGGAAACAACCCAGACCGCCAGCUAAGGUCCCAAAGUAUUGCUAAGUGGGAAACGAUGUGGGAAGGCUCAGACAGCUAGGAUGUUGGCUUAGAAGCAGCCAUCAUUUAAAGAAAGCGUAAUAGCUCACUAGUCGAGUCGGCCUGCGCGGAAGAUGUAACGGGGCUAAGCAAUACACCGAAGCUGCGGCAAUGCCUUUUAGGUAUUGGGUAGGGGAGCGUUCUGUAAGCCGUUGAAGGUGGUCUGUAAGGGCUGCUGGAGGUAUCAGAAGUGCGAAUGCUGACAUGAGUAACGACAAAGGGGGUGAAAAACCUCCUCGCCGGAAGACCAAGGGUUCCUGUCCAACGUUAAUCGGGGCAGGGUGAGUCGACCCCUAAGGUGAGGCCGAAAGGCGUAAUCGAUGGGAAACGGGUUAAUAUUCCCGUACUUCUGACUAUUGCGAUGGGGGGACGGAGAAGGCUAGGUGGGCCAGGCGACGGUUGUCCUGGUUCAAGUGCGUAGGCUUAAGAGUUAGGUAAAUCCGGCUCUUUCUAAGGCUGAGACACGACGUCGAGCUGCUACGGCAGUGAAGUCAUUGAUGCCAUGCUUCCAGGAAAAGCCUCUAAGCUUCAGAUAGUCAGGAAUCGUACCCCAAACCGACACAGGUGGUCGGGUAGAGAAUACCAAGGCGCUUGAGAGAACUCGGGUGAAGGAACUAGGCAAAAUGGUACCGUAACUUCGGGAGAAGGUACGCUCUUGAUGGUGAAGUCCCUUGCGGAUGGAGCUGACGAGAGUCGCAGAUACCAGGUGGCUGCAACUGUUUAUUAAAAACACAGCACUGUGCAAAAUCGCAAGAUGACGUAUACGGUGUGACGCCUGCCCGGUGCCGGAAGGUUAAUUGAUGGGGUUAGCGCAAGCGAAGCUCUUGAUCGAAGCCCCGGUAAACGGCGGCCGUAACUAUAACGGUCCUAAGGUAGCGAAAUUCCUUGUCGGGUAAGUUCCGACCUGCACGAAUGGCGUAAUGAUGGCCACGCUGUCUCCACCCGAGACUCAGUGAAAUUGAAAUCGCUGUGAAGAUGCAGUGUACCCGCGGCUAGACGGAAAGACCCCGUGAACCUUUACUACAGCUUGGCACUGAACAUUGAACCUACAUGUGUAGGAUAGGUGGGAGGCUAUGAAGACGUGACGCUAGUUGCGUUGGAGCCGUCCUUGAAAUACCACCCUUGUAUGUUUGAUGUUCUAACUUAGACCCGUUAUCCGGGUUGAGGACAGUGCCUGGUGGGUAGUUUGACUGGGGCGGUCUCCUCCCAAAGAGUAACGGAGGAGCACGAAGGUGGGCUAAUCACGGUUGGACAUCGUGAGGUUAGUGCAAUGGCAUAAGCCCGCUUAACUGCGAGAAUGACGGUUCGAGCAGGUGCGAAAGCAGGUCAUAGUGAUCCGGUGGUUCUGUAUGGAAGGGCCAUCGCUCAACGGAUAAAAGGUACUCCGGGGAUAACAGGCUGAUACCGCCCAAGAGUUCAUAUCGACGGCGGUGUUUGGCACCUCGAUGUCGGCUCAUCACAUCCUGGGGCUGAAGUCGGUCCCAAGGGUAUGGCUGUUCGCCAUUUAAAGUGGUACGCGAGCUGGGUUUAGAACGUCGUGAGACAGUUCGGUCCCUAUCUGCCGUGGGCGUUGGAAGAUUGAAGGGGGCUGCUCCUAGUACGAGAGGACCGGAGUGGACGAACCUCUGGUGUUCGGGUUGUGUCGCCAGACGCAUUGCCCGGUAGCUAAGUUCGGAAUUGAUAAGCGCUGAAAGCAUCUAAGCGCGAAGCGAGCCCUGAGAUGAGUCUUCCCUGAUACUUUAAGUAUCCUAAAGGGUUGUUCGAGACUAGAACGUUGAUAGGCAGGGUGUGUAAGCGUUGUGAGGCGUUGAGCUAACCUGUACUAAUUGCCCGUGAGGCUUAACCA